GUCCACGCCGUAAACGAUGAUCACUAGCUGUUCGGGGUGUCGACCCCCUGAGUAGCGAAGCUAACGCGUUAAGUGAUCCGCCUGGGGAGUACGGUCGCAAGACUAAAACUCAAAGGAAUUGACGGGGACCCGCACAAGCGGUGGAACGUGUGGUUUAAUUCGUCGCUAAGCGAAAACCUUACCGAGGCUUGACAUCUCUGGAAGGCGCUGGAAACAGUGCUGUGCCCGAAAGGGACCAGAUGACAGGUGCUGCAUGGCUGCCGU
rnacentral:rRNA from 1 species